UACGGAGGGUGCAAACGUUGCUCGGAAUCAUUGGGCGUAAAGCGCACGUAGGCGGCGCGCUAAGUCGGAUGUGAAAGCCCCGGGCUCAACCCGGGAAGUGCAUACGAAACUGGCGCGCUUGAAUAUGGAAGAGGGUCGCGGAAUUCCCGGUGUAGAGGUGAAAUUCGUAGAUAUCGGGGAGGAACACCAGUGGCGAAGGCGGCUCACUGGACCGGUACUGACGCUGAUGCGCGAAAGCGGUGGGGAGCAAACGGG
rnacentral:rRNA from 1 species